AUUGAACGCUGGCGGCAUGCCUUACACAUGCAAGUCGAACGGCAGCACGGGGCAACCUGGUGGCGAGUGGCGAACGGGUGAGUAAUGCAUCGGAACGUACCUUUCAGUGGGGGAUAACGUAGCGAAAGUUACGCUAAUACCGCAUAUUCUGUGAGCAGGAAAGCAGGGGAUCGCAAGACCUUGCGCUGAUUGAGCGGCCGAUGUCAGAUUAGCUAGUUGGUGAGGUAAAGGCUCACCAAGGCGACGAUCUGUAGCGGGUCUGAGAGGAUGAUCAGCAACACUGGAACUGAGACACGGUCCAGACGCCUACGGGAGGCAGCAGUGGGGAAUUUUGAACAAUGGGGGCAACCCUGAUCCAGCCAUGCCGCGUGAGUGAAGAAGGCCUUCGGGUUGUAAAGCUCUUUCGGCCGGGAAGAAAUCGCACGGGCUAAUACCCUGUGUGGAUGACGGUACCGGAAUAAGAAGCACCGGCUAACUACGUGCCAGCCGCCGCAGUAAGAC
rnacentral:rRNA from 1 species